GAAAAACAAACCACACAUCCCGUAGUUGGCAAGGUGGGAUAUAACGUUAGUAACCCCCCCUUCCUCUUUCCUUCCUCCCUUUUCCCACAUUUAAUGCUUUGCGUUGUCGGGAUUUGUUUUUUCAGAUGUCUGUCACUCGAUGGUACAGUGACUGGCCCAUGAUAACAACACUGGAGCUAAGUGGGAAAGAAGGGAUCAAAUACAGCUCACAGGCUAAGACUCCAUUAGCAAAACUAAGGACGACAGCAGCUAAUUCUGUUCGGAGACGAACACGACACAGCAGACUGCGAGUUCGGGACCUGCUGCUGUCUGCCAGCGACGAACCCCCGUAUGUGAAAGCACGCGUUCACCGAUCCCAAGAGCCCGCGGAGGCAAAAGUGCCCGAGGCCCACAAAUGUCGUAAUGCAUCCCUCGUGGGCAGCUGCCGAGGGCAACCGAGAUGUUGCUUUCAGAGCCCACACAGCACGCUCCGCAGCAAGAGGCAGGAGGUCCAAAAGUGAGCGCGAAGAUCCUCACAAACUGUUCUGGGCAGAGACGUUAACACCAUCUGAUAUAGAUGCCCUGAGGUAAUGCCCACUUCGGUAAAGAAAGAGCAUUAGAGACAAGAACUCGAGAUAUUGAUAAUAGCGACGACAUACGAAAGGCCCGCCAGGCAGGCGCUGGGCUUUCAUCCAUUCCUCCUUCCCUUUACUUGACUGCUGUUUGUGGAAUGAAUGCCCUUACGUGCUGGCCUUUACGUCAGGUUUUUAACUGAGGGCAAUUGAGAAGGAUUCAGUACAAUAAUGUAUGGAGAGCACGGAGCUUGCACACAGUCGGUGCUCAGUAUCAGUCAUUCUGACGAGGACGAAACGUUUGGAGGUUUCUCUGGUUUGCGUACUUUGAGGGAAUGACAGGAUCAUAUCUGGGUGUUUCGAAGCCGUGUCCCUUAGCCGAGGCAGGAGGCCUUACGGAGGGAAGCUUGGAGGUGGGCAUGCAAGUGAAAAGGACUCAGUGAGAGUUAAAGGGGAGCUGAGAAGGGGCCAGGGGGGCUGCUGUGAGCUGGAGGUUCAGUCUGAGAACAUGGCAGCCUUGGGGGUACCAAGGAGCAGUCCCAGAAGAUGCUGCUGAGACUUGCAGCCGAUGUGCCAGAGAGAGUGCACGGCAGAGCCCGGGAACCUAGGCGGAGGGCAGGUCUGUGCAGGGGACCAUGAUGAGUUUGCUGAGCUCCGACCAGGACGUGCUGCAUGCAUUGGCGGCGCCCUUCAAACACCCAUGCAGAGAUGCCUUGCGGGCGGCUGGAGGUGUAAGUGUUCAGCUCUGGAUUCAAAGAAUCGACUUCUGGCUUCUAUUCAUAAAAUUAAAAUGUAUUAAGUUAAUGAGUGCCCCUGCUGACUUCUUGUUUCAGGGUUCAUUUUCAUGUGCGUUCUGAAACGUUUGGAAGAAUGGGUGGCUGUUAAACUCCUACUCCCCCUCUGCUUGGAUUUGUUUUUUUUAAAUAGUGUCUAAAUUGAAAGCAGGCAGAUUAAUAUAUGUAGAACUAAUCGCUUGUAUAGAAGCUGAGCUUAUUUAACUCACCUCUCCCUCAACCAAAAGGUUACUCAUUAAAUGGAUUAACAAACAACCGCUAA